UAAGACGUGCGCAGCGGUUUGUUAGACUGUCGUGAAUACCCCCGGGCUCAACCUGGGAAUGGCGAUGGUGACUGCAAGGCUAGAGUUUGGCAGAGGGGGGUAGAAUUCCACGUGUAGCAGUGAAAUGCGUAGAUAUGUGGAGGAACACCGAUGGCGAAGGCAGCCCCCUGGGUCAAAACUGACGCUCAUGCACGAAAGCGUGGGGAGCAAACAGGAUUAGAUACCCUAGU
rnacentral:rRNA from 1 species